rnacentral:rRNA from 1 species
AAUCUUGGACAAUGGGCGCAAGCCUGAUCCAGCCAUGCCGCGUGAGUGAUGAAGGCCUAGGGUCGUAAAGCUCUUUCGCCAGGGAUGAUAAUGACAGUACCUGGUAAAGAAACCCCGGCUAACUCCGUGCCAGCAGCCGCGGUAAUACGGAGGGGGUUAGCGUUGUUCGGAAUUACUGGGCGUAAAGCGCGCGUAGGCGGACUGGAAAGUUGGGGUGAAAUCCCGGGGCUCAACCCCGGAACUGCCUCCAAAACUACCCAGUCUUGAGUUCGAGAGAGGUGAGUGGAAUUCCGAGUGUAGAGGUGAAAAUUCGUAGAUAUUCGGAGGAACACCAGUGGCGAAGGCGGCUCACUGGCUCGAUACUGACGCUGAGGUGCGAAAGUGUGGGGAGCAAACAGGAUUAGAUACCCUGGUAG